rnacentral:lncRNA from 1 species
AGAGAGUAAGGAGGGGAAGGAGAGACCCAAAAAUGGGUCAUUUUUCACCCGCGAACUACCAUUUUUGACCUGGCCAUAUCUUCUUCAUCCGACUUCCGUUUUGGGUAAUCUUGGUGUCCAUAGAAAGCUCUUGACGAGUCCUACAUCCCUGUAGUGUUAGAUGUCUAUUUUUCCUUUCCAUUUUUCUAGGUCGAAGCCACAAAGUGCCUAGGGUUUUCCUGCGAGUUUUCUCAUUUUACAGUGAUUCCGACAAUGAUUACCGUCGAUCAUCACUACCAAUAGACUCCUCUCAACCCCUGGACCAAGGCCCAAGCAUUGGAUGAGGCGUCGAAGUUCGUUUUGGCGAUGAAUCGAGGAACACCCAUUUCUAGGGUCUCCAACGUGUUUGGAUGAAAUUGAGACACUUCUCGGCCGAAUUGGACUUGGCCACAGGUAUGAAAAUUGAUCCCCACACUGAGAUAUACUUGCCUGUAAAUUUGGUAAUUUUUUGAAAUUGUUGAAUUUUUCGGCGAGUCGGGGCGGCCGACCGCCACCGGCAGCAGUGCGGGCGGCGGUGCUUCGGCCAGUGGGCCGACGAUGCCUUUCUAAGUUCAAUUAGAUGUGCUGGAUUUGUAUUUGAUAUUCGUAUGACGUGGUUUGAUCGUUUGAACCUAAUUUCAUUAUGAUACAUUACUUGAUCAAAAUAUGAAUUGACGAUCCGACCGUCGGAUCGUGAUGAAAUUUUAGUAUGUUGUUCUAGAGGAAUAAUGUGGAUUUUAGAAGAUUACGGAUCCAAAAUCCAUGUGUAGAUCUUCUGGAUCAAAUUACGUAGAGAUGUGGACCCCACCGUUGAUCUGAAGUUGACUUUUGGUCAAUAGGUAUUGAAUCAUUUAUUUUACUAAAAUUAGUAUUGCUAGAGACUCAAUGAGGCUUUGCGGACUUGUCUUGGUGAGUGACUUUAAUAUAUGUGAUAUGGUUUUUACCCUGUUUUCUUAUAAGUAUCCUUUGUGGAUAUGACUUGGUUUUGUAAAUGUGUUUUCUGUUAAAAUGUGAUUUUAUAAUUGGUCAUCGAUCUAUUUUUAUUAAAUGUGAUUUGAUUUAUGGAUUGGAAAUAUUUGUGAAAAGGUGAAUUGAAGUGCAUAUUGAAAUAUUUAUGAAUUGUGUUAUAAAUAUACAUUUGAAAUGUUGAGAAAUGCGAGGGCUAGUAGGGGACCGUUACCCUAGUGUCACGGGGUUAGGUGACACCGAGUCUGCACCAUGUAGCAGUGGUACAUGGAUGGUCUUACUUGGUUAAUCCGCAAUGGGGGACCAUAUUAUUUAUGGAUCGCACUUGGUUAAUCCGCGAUGGGCGAUCCUUAUGGCCAUGUAUACUUAGGAGUGAUAAUGCUUAGUUAAUUCACGAUGGGUGAUCACUGCCUAACAGUUUUAUAGGUGUGACUUUGCUUGGUUAAUCUGCGAUGGGCGAUCCUUAUGGCCAUACAUACUUAGGGGUGAUCAUGCUUGGUUAAUCCGCAAUGGGUGAUCACUACCUAGCAGAUUCAUGGGAGUGACUCUGCUUGGUUAAUCUGCGAUUGGGGGUGGGGGGGGGGGCGCGGGGAGGGUCACUACCUACAUGGUUACUCAGGGGGUGGCUCUGCUUGGUUAAUUUGCCAUGGGGGGCCACUUCUUGUUUGGUUACUUAUGUAGGCUUCGGCCGAACUGCGUCCCUCUAGCCCUAGUUUUUAAUGUACAUAUGAACAAUGGUUUUUGAGAAUCUUGGGGGUUUGAAUGGGAAAAGCCGUUGGAUGUCUGGGUGAGUCCUUCGGAGUUGUUGAGACUUAACUAUAUUUUCAUAUUUACAAACUUAUAUUUGAGGUUUAUAAACUGUGAUCGAUGGUCUUUUCUUUUAUUGAUUAUCACAUACUUGUAUUAUUGUCACUCACCUGAGCUCCGCAACUUAUCCAAGUUCCGUUUGGCCGGUGCACCAUUCUCAUGAUGGAGGCACUGAUUUUACAUAUGAUAGGUUUGGGUAGAUUAUGAGACACCACUUGAUAUUUUGGUUCCAUUGAGUGGUCUGGAAUCCUUGCUCUUGCUCAUUCCCAUAAGGUUAGUCUAGAACCCUAGAUUCGAGUGAAUGAGAAUUACCCACAAUAGAUGAUAGGAUUUUUACCACCUGCACAAAAGGGUUAAAAACACCUAAAAUACUUGCAAGAGAAACAAGGUUAUCGUAGUAUAAUUGGCUCAAGUAAGGUCGUUCUCAACAAGGACUAAUUUAAAUAGAUUGACGUGAAAUCAAUUCCCAACUAAUUAAUUAAAACAAAGUCUUUGAAAAAGGUGAUUUAACGGCCUAAAUUAAGAAAAACGAAUUUAAUUAAAAAGAUUACUUAAAAACCCCAACUGGAAGGAGGAAGAAACAAUUUUUACAAUUCAAAGUGAGAAAGUACUAGGGUUCUGCCGUCACCCUAACAAUCCUAUGUAACUCUUCUAAAUUACUUAUGAACCAUACAUGCAUAUCUUGAAGGUUAGGUUUUCCUAGAGUAUAUCCUACCUGAAACCUCCAACAUAGAACAUAUAUCUAACAUGCAACUCGUCUGUUGUGUUCAGAUCGAAUGUGAACAUGCAAGACUAAUUAAGUUUUAUGAAAACCCUUUUGAAAAAACCAUAUAACCCUUAAAACGUGUCGUCCAUCCUAAGAGGUUGCACAUAUUAACCACAAGAAGCCUUAGUCAAUUUUAGGGACAGCCCUCUACCAAAAUUGCAUCAAAUUACUUUUCUAAUUAUCCUAAUGGUCGCGAAUCACUAAGAAAAAUAGAUAGUUUAAAGCACAGUGAUUAACAAUCCAAAACUUGCAUGCAUGAAUUCAUAAGCAAAUUAAAAGAGACUACAUAUUCUUGCUAAGGAUCAUGGCCUCACCCUAGCAAAAUAAAAUUAGUUACGCAUAUUCAUAAUUAAAAUCAACAUAAUUGUAUUAAACUAGAAAAAGAAUGAAAACACCUUGUAGAAUAAAAUUUGAAAAUCUCUAAACUUUGUCCCAAAUCUUCUCUCCAAAAAAUUGCAUGCGUUCUCUCUCUAAAAAAAACCCCUAGGUCUGCCAAAAGGCUUAUUUAUACUACUCUAAAUAAAAUCCUCCUAAUAAAAGGUCUUAGAAUAAGACUAGGAAACUAAAUAAAUUGAAAUAAAUUAGGAAACCUAAUCCUAAAUUGGCUUGGUAAAUUUGCCCAAAAUUCUGCACAGCCACGUUCUGGACCCAAAUCAGCUCCAAAACUAGCCCAAAAUUUAUGAACUUAAACUUUGACUAUUCUGAACACUUCUCCAGAAGGUCACGAACCCAUCUGAAGUCAUCUUAGGCUCCAAAAACACAGUUUAAGCCUAGAAACGUCAAUUUCCAACAACGCGCACUGCUCCUUCAUUUAAUCUCCAAAAAAUAACCGCUUGGUAGAAAUUGCUGAGAUUUUGACACGAACAAGCUAAGGAACAUACGAAAUCACUCCAAAAUUCGUCUGUUUGGUCAUGUUUUGCUCCAGAGGAAGUCAAAUUUCCUAUGUUGAAAAUAUAAAGCACAAUAUCAAAAUUCUAUCAAAAUAAUUAUCAAAUUAUACUAAGAAUAGGGUGAAACAUAUAAUAUAAUUUUGACUCAUCAAUAGACCUUGUGAAUAUAAAAUAGAUUUACCAUGUUAUUUCUCAUAAUCCAAGUAGGAAAUUAUUUAGAGUUCCUUGUUUAAAUUUGUGAAAUGAUAUGUUACUACAUUCAUUGAUUAACAUAAUUAAAUGCUAAGAUCAUGUAUCUUUGAUUCAUGAAUUGAUUGAUUGAUGGGAUUGCGGAAUGACCUUGGUUAUGGUUGUUAUUAUUAUGAUUAUUUUAGUUGAUCAAUGUGGCUUGAGAAUAAUAUGUGCUUCGUUGGUUAUUAGAUAUGUUACAUGCUGUGGAUGGAACUAUCAUGCUGAAAACAUGGAAUUUAUAUGAUGGAUGGAAUGAGAAUCUUGAAUGGCAUGUUGGUUUGUUUUGUAGCCUAAACUUGGUAAUGUCAUGCAUGUCAAGUUCUAAUAAUUGAUUACAGAAUGUUAUGUAUUCCUGUUAGAACGCACUAGAAUAAAUGUCUAAAUUAGUGAACGACGAACUAUGAAUGACUUGAUCCCUAAUGAGGGUAUGUAGGCAGUCUAAUGAGGAGGUUAGAUGCAGCCAUAAAGUAUACGAAAAAUUACUAUGCGAUUCGAUUCUCGAGUUGUGAUUUGCCAUAUCCCGGAGGUGGGGUAUGUUGAGAUACGGGUAUUUGGUGAAGUCAUGUGUUGAUUCUGAAUGUAUGUCGGGAUCGAAGCAUGACAUGAACGAAUAAAUUUUCCUCGACUUGGAAAGGGAUUGUGACUUUAACACGCUAUUUUUCUUCAUCUUAUGCAUCAUGUUUAUCAAAAGACAAAUAAUAUGACUUCACAUAAGGAGAGAAUAAGAGUAUUUUCCUUUGUAAAAAUCAACUUUUGUUUAAGAAGAUGUGGAUGCUGAUUGAUGCACCAUGUGAAUACGAAGAACGACCUUGGAGGGAGAUGAGAUAUUCAUUAGAAGCUAGCGAAAAAAAAAAAGUUAAUAAUGAUUUAGUCAAAAAGCAAGAAAGCCUCAUUUUCUAAGUGGUAGUCAUUAACACGAUACUUGAUAAGGAGAAAAGUCAUAGUAUUUUAUUUUACUGGGAACGAGGGUGCAAGGUCUCAAUUGGAAUAUGAGAUGAAGUUUCUACAUAACUAUAUAUGACAAAGAAAGAAGUCUAAGUUUGUAGGUGGUAGGGCUUUUAAUUGAUGUGAGUUUGUUGAGAAAUGAAGAUGAGCAUGAAUACUGACAUCGAUGCGAGUUAGUGAACACGAUGCUUCUCCUUUGGCCUUUUAAUAUGAUAAUACCGGAAAACAAGUUGUUACUAAUAUAUGUAUAUCUGAUUGGUGGACUAAGAUGUACAGUACGAUUUUUGAUAGAGUAAUGUUAUGGAAACUAAAUUUGUAGACUAGAUUUUGAAAACUAAAUGACAUGGAAUCCUUACUUAUGUGCUCAUUUCCGAUUAGUGACACAUCAUUUAGUUUGUAAAUUUAGUCUACAAAUUUAGUCUCCUUAACAUUACUUUUUUUGAUAACUAGCGAAGAUGAACACUCUCAUGACAAAAUUUAUCUAAAUAGACCUAAAGGCAAGACUUACGAACUUCAUAUGCAGUGGGAUAAAAUCUUAAACUAAUUUCCAUUUUUAUUUUGUAGUUGAUAGGGAUUUUACCACCUCCAAAGGUAGAGAUAAAAACACUUAAAAAUACUUGCAAGAGUACAAGGUUAUCGUAGUAUAGCAGCUCAAGCAAGGUCGUUCUCCACAGAGAUUGAAUGAAUAAUUUAUGUAAAUAUCAAAUCUUAAUUAAUUAUUUGAAAACAAAGUUUGGAAAAAGGUGAUUUUAUGACCUAAAAUAGUAAAAAUGAAUUUAAUUAAAAAUAAUUAAAUAAAUUGGCAAAGUAAAGAGAAUAAAAGAAAAUAGUUUUGAAAAUAAAUUUGAGCACUAUAGGCCGUUCUGCCAUCACCUUAACAAUUUUACGUAGUUCUUCCAAUUACUUAUGAAUUACGUAGUUCUUCAAGGUUGUAUAUAAUAUAACUACCUAUAUAAUCUUAGCCCGAGACAUGUAUAUAUAUAUAUAUAUAUAUAUAUAUAUAUAUAUAUAUAUAUAUAUAUAUAUAUAUAUAUAUACAUGUCCUGAGAAAUAUGAACAAUUAAAGGGUUUUCUAUUCAAAUUUACAUGGGUUUUGUUUGCAGCCUCGGAUCAUACAUGUGCAUUUAAUUUGGUUUUGUUUUCAGUUUCAAGAGACCCUGACAUUUUUCCUUUUAUGGGCCUUUUCUUUGCAGACUCGGACGCCCUUUGUGCUCAAGGUAGGGGCGGAGCCACCAAGGGACUAGGAUAGUCCCUGGCCCAUCCUGACUUCAUCUGAGGCAUGAACCUCAUGGAAGAAGAUGAAGCAAAUGACGUCGUUAAACUGUUUUGAUUUUAAAUCUUUUCGGCUGUCUAAUGCAACGAUAAGUUUGGCAGGGGAGUUUUAAAAGAGAUGUGCAAUUUUAAAUGGAAAAAGCAACCCCACUUCUGGUUCGAUUCUCUCACCUAACAGUAAUAUACACCCUAUAAUUUUCUAAAGCAACCCACCUUCUUUAUUUGCAGACCUCUCCCCCUUUUCCUUCUUUUUCUACUUCUUUGUAUUUUCUUUAGCCUUCCACAACCUACCUCUUACUUGGUUGUUUGGGUUUUUACAUUUUUUUCUUCUUAGUAUUGAAUUUAAGAGAAUUUUUUC